rnacentral:rRNA from 1 species
UACGAAGGGGGCUAGCGUUGCUCGGAAUCACUGGGCGUAAAGGGUGCGUAGGCGGGUCUUUAAGUCAGGGGUGAAAUCCUGGAGCUCAACUCCAGAACUGCCUUUGAUACUGAGGAUCUUGAGUUCGGGAGAGGUGAGUGGAACUGCGAGUGUAGAGGUGAAAUUCGUAGAUAUUCGCAAGAACACCAGUGGCGAAGGCGGCUCACUGGCCCGAUACUGACGCUGAGGCACGAAAGCAUGGGGAGCGAACGGG